UACGAAGGGGGCUAGCGUUGUUCGGAAUCACUGGGCGUAAAGCGCGCGUAGGUGGCUUGCUAAGUCGGGAGUGAAAGCCUGGGGCUUAACCUCAGAAUUGCUCUCGAUACUGGUAAGCUAGAGUCUGGAAGAGGAGUGUGGAAUACCGAGUGUAGAGGUGAAAUUCGUAGAUAUUCGGUGGAACACCAGUGGCGAAGGCGACACUCUGGGACAUGACUGACACUGAGGCGCGAAAGCGUGGGGAUCAAACAGG
rnacentral:rRNA from 1 species